AAAAUGUGGAUUUUGAUUUAGUAUAUCCUGGGUGAGACCUAACCUGAAUUUCUAGUUCCUAGGUGUUGCAGAAGCAGCUGAUCAGGGGACUACACACUGUGUAACAGAGCUGUAGAGGUUUCUGAUGAAUGCAUACACCACACAGAUAAUCUACAAUUUAUCCAUUCUAUUAUUGAUGGGCAUCUGGACAGUUUCCAGUUUUUGACUACUACGUAUAAUGCUCUAUAAACAGUCUCAACAUGUCUUUUAUGUAUGCAUUUGCUGGACAGAUAUAUAUCAAGGAGAAUACAAAUAUGUCCAACUUCAGGACACACUGUCAAACAGCUUUCCAAAAGGGCUAUACCAAUUUACACUUUUGUCAACAGUGUAUGAAAGUUCCUAUUAUUUCAAAUCCUUGACCAAUGCCUGUAUUGUUACCCUUUUAAUUUUAGCCAUUCUAAUUAGGAUGUGGUUUAACUAGCAUUUCCUGACAACUACUGAGGUGGAGCACUUGUUUCAAGUUUACGGAUAAUUACACUAUCUUCUUCUUUAAAUGUCUAUUCAAAUUAUUUGCCCAUGUUUAAAAUGGGCUUUCUGUUUUUUUCUUACUGCUAUAUAAAAGUUCUUUAUAUAUUCUGAAUAUAUACAAGUCUUUUAUUGGUUAUAUAUUUUACAAAUAUCUUCUUCCAUUGUGUGGCCUGCCUUUUUGCUUUACUAAUUGGUCUUGAUACACAAUCAACAUCUGAAUAUAUUUUUACCUAUACAAAUCAACUCUAAUAUCAUCC